CCCUCUAGAUCUAGCUGCUGUUGAAGCUCCAUCUAUAAAUGGAUAAGAUUUUGAUCUUAGUGUAUACGAGUUUUUGAAUGUAAAGGAGCAAUAACCAAUUUCCCCCUAUCAGUAUCAAGGGGGAUGGUAUUGCUCCUUUAUUUAGUAGUCUUUUAUUUAUAUUUUUUUAUAUUUAUCUAAGUUUUUUUAUUUCUUUAUUUCAAAUUUCAACUAAAAUUCAAAAAGUAAUAAAAAAUAUUCUCAUAGGUUGGUUUAUGAUUGAGUAUCAUACUUCUGUUUUGUUGUUUAAUAACUUAAAAUUAAAGUAAGAUAAUAAAAAAACAUAAUGAAUGGUGGAGAUUGAGUCUUUUUCAAUUUUAUAUUUUUUGUAAUCUGAUCUGAGAGGGGCGGAUGUAGCCAAGUGGAUCAAGGCAGUGGAUUGUGAAUCCACCAUGCGCGCC
rnacentral:misc_RNA from 1 species